GGAUCUCUGCCCCGGGUGCGUCGCAGCCCCGGACCAAGGCGCCCGCCGGAGGACCAACCAAAACUCUUUUUGUAUACCCCCUCGCGGGUUUUUUAUAAUCUGAGCCUUCUCGGCGCCUCUCGUAGGCGUUUCGAAAAUGAAUCAAAACUUUCAACAACGGAUCUCUUGGUUCUGGCAUC
rnacentral:rRNA from 1 species